ensembl:lncRNA
CCUCUCCCCGGCAGCACCGCGCUCCACAGCAAUUGGUUUCCGCCGUGGCCACACGGAAUCCCCAAUUGGCCAGUCGGCCGGCGUUGAAGGGGCGCCCUGUGCCCAUUCGCCCGCGGGUUUCAAGGACCCGGGUUGGCUAGGGCAGAGGAAUGGGGCGCGCAGAUUGGCCGAAGGGAGGGACGUUGGGGUGGGGCAGGUGAGAGCCGGCCGCUGAUUGGGUGAGCCUGGCAAGGGUCUUGGGCUCAGACGGGCUGAGCGCGAGGAGGGUGGUGGGCCGGAGGUAAAGCUCAGAGCUCUCGUGAUUGGCUGGGGUCCUGGACGUUGAUAGGUCAGGGCGCCGGGGAGGACUGAGGAGAGGAGUUCGGUCGGGGUCGGGGCGUGCAAAGGCAGAAGACGCCCCGCCGCUUUCGGAGUCUGGCGCGGGGCACGCCGGGACGCCCCGGGAAAGGGCGGAGCUGAGCGCCGGCUGCAGUCCGGACGGCAGCGUCACUGCGGGCGUGCGGAGCGAAGUUUCGCGGGCCUGCGCGGGAAGGGACCGUUAAAAUCUGGGGCCGCGCCCACCGGAAGCGACUGAAUGGCGAGGUCGCCUUGGUAACAGGCCUUUGGCUGGAAGGACCUUGAAGGCCACGUGAUUCGACUUACAGUGUGCGGUGGGAACUCUGACGCCCAGAGAGGGUAUGGAACUGAUCCAAGGUCACACAGCCGAGAAAAGGCUGCAUUUCAGUCGUACUCUGGCAUCCCUGCUGUUUGAUCAUCUGAAAGCCACCUAAGCUUCGCAUGUGAGAGCUGGAAAGUCUGUGUCUAAAUACGAGCCCCUCAGGAAAGAUGCGAUCCCGAAGGUGCUAAGCUGUGCAGCCCCCAACCCCAGCCCUGGGAGUAGUCGCAGAGCCAAGGGACCAGAAGAGGAGGGGUUCAGCCCUGGCCUCACUGGCACCGAGGAAGCAUGGAGUGAGUGUGACACCCAGAGGACUGAGUCACCUGCUUGGGGACAGGGCAAACCGCACUGCUGUUUCCACACGACACUUCUUCCAAAAGAAUUUAGGCAAGUGAAAGCAUUCAGAGAAAAGCAGGAAGAUUUACUGCACUUUCCACUCCCAAAGCCCAGGACCUUCACACUGAGCUACAUUGCCAGCCCUUUUCAUUUACUUAGAGACAUCUCUCCAAGUUGCUGGCUUUGAUCCUCCUGUCUCAGCCUCCAGAGUGCUGGGAUUACAGAUGUGCACCCGACACCCAACUUGCAGCACUUUUUGACUAUUUAUGGACUGGAAAACCAUUUGGAUGUCAAGCCCUCCCUGUCUGGGUGUAGCUUGACACCACUGCCACCCGGCUCCCUCUUUAUUGCUUCCUCAGUUUACUCGGCUCUCCAUGGGCUUGCUGCCUUGCUCCCAGAGUCUUGACAUGGUCACUUCUCUGUUUAACUCCUUGUGGACAUGACCACCUGCUCCGCAACCUAAGUCUGGGACAUGGCUCCGUGGUAGAGCCCUUUCCUAGUGAGCUUGAAGGCCCAGGUUUGGUCCCCAGUACCACAAAACAACAAAGACAGAAAUACAGUACUCCUCUGGUG